UUGUUUUGGUCUCUACUGGUCUUGCAUACACUCCAGAUGUGAAAAAAAAUCAUCCAGCCCCUUUCUGUGAGUCACCAGGCGAAAUUUGACACCGCCUCCUGUGAGCCAGUUAGCAGUUCCCCACCUGUGUGACGUGAUAUAGGGGCCGACCAAUGAGGGUGCUGCCCGGCGGUGUCCAGGCCUGCCCCCAACGGAAAUCCCCACCCACUAAUUCAUGGAGUGAAGAACCUGCGUGUCCGCCAUUGUUGUAUCUUAGCUUCAUCGCUAACGGGAACCGAGCUAUGGCAAGCAAAAGCAAAAAAGGGUGUUUUGUUGUCGGUUGUGGGGAACCACACAAGUCUGUGCAUCUUCUUCCAACUGACCAGAGAAAAUCUGCGUGGCUAAAUUUCAUCUUUGAUGGCAAGAUUCCACCAACACUUGGAAAACAAAUUACAGUGUGUGCAAACCAUUUAGCUGAAGACUGCUUUGGAAACUUGGGACAAUACCAUGCAGGAUUGGCACACAGACUUCGCCUUACCGAGGACACGGUCCCAACUAUCCGUGAUGUGUCGACAGGUAAAGGACCUGCUCCAGCCCAGCCACAUCUGAUUCCUCCCACAAGAGAGGUCGCCUGUCGAACCACCAGAGAAACGAACCGCUGGCACCCAACUGUCCAUACGUACACUUGGACCUCACUUGGACACACUGGAUAAUACCCUGGAUGUGCACCCUUCAACUGUUCCAUGCGGCUUGUAACCUAUAAGUAACAGACCAGCCAGAUCGGAUUCAGCCAGAAACAGAAGUCUACUGUCGAACUG